AAGAAACAACAAUUUAAUUAAUUAAUUAAUUAAUUAAUGAUCAUCUUCAUCAUUUAGCCUUCGAGGUGCAUCGACGAGGUAUAUAGUCUCCACUGGAUUUAUGAAACCUGAGCUGACAUUCCAAAUGGCAACGAAACUUAAUGGACCCAAGAAUCCCAACUCUCCACCUAGCUCUCACAUUCCCUUUCAGAUCAAAUCUAAUUUCAUCUUCAUUCAAGUACGCAUCCACAUCCUUCAUUUGCUCUUGAUUCAAUGGUAUCGAGUCUGAAGUAGCUACGAAGUUAAAAUCCACGGAGCUGUUCUUGCUCACCUCGUAUGGUUCAGCCACCAGUUUUGCUAUCUCUAUCCCAUCAAAAAUCAACGUCAGCUUCAUGUCAGACAGGCUAGCAUGAGCUCUGUUGUUGUCGUUUUCUGUCCUUACGACGAUCAUUACUUGUGUUACGAGAACACCAGCUAAGUCGUAUUGGAAGAGGUUCAGGUGAGCAUCCACCACACUAAUGAUUGGAAUUGUUGGGUGAUAUACUAAGUACCCCAGGAACGCUACUACGCCGGCGAUGAUUACUCCUACGGCUAGGACUGAGAAAAUGAAGGUGGCGCACCACCGCAAAGGGUGGGUUCGUUCGGGUUCGUGAUCUUUUGGGUGCUUAUCGGAUUGCAUCAUAAUUGGCAAUAAUCUAGCAGGAGUAGAAAGAACAUUAGGUGAAUUAAUGGGUAGAAGGAUUGGGUUCCUGGAGUCUGAUUGAUGGGGAAGGUUAGGUAUCUUCUUUCCCUUGUUUAAAAGCAUGUGUCAUGUUCAUUUUUUU
rnacentral:misc_RNA from 1 species